GGUCCGUUGGUCAAGGGGUUAAGACGCCGCCUUUUCACGGCGGUAACACGGGUUCGAAUCCCGUACGGACUA
rnacentral:tRNA from 1 species